rnacentral:rRNA from 1 species
GACGAACGCUGGCGGCGUGCUUAACACAUGCAAGUCGAACGGAAAGGCCCUGCUUUUGUGGGGUGCUCGAGUGGCGAACGGGUGAGUAACACGUGAGUAACCUGCCCUUGACUGUGGGAUAACUUCAGGAAACUGGGGCUAAUACCGGAUAGGAGCUCCUGCUGCAUGGUGGGGGUUGGAAAGUUUCGGCGGUUGGGGAUGGACUCGCGGCUUAUCAGCUUGUUGGGGGGGUAGUGGCUUACCAGGGCUUUGACGGGUAGCCGGCCUGAGAGGGUUGACGGCCACCUUGGGACUGAGAUACGGCCCAGAAUCGUACGGGCGGCAGAAGUGGGGAAUAUUGCACAAUGGGCGGAAGCCUGAUGCAGCAACGCCGCGUGCGGGAUGACGGCCUUCGGGUUGUAAACCGCUUUCGACUGUGACGAAGCGUGAGUGACGGUAAUGGGUAAAGAAGCACCGGCUAACUACGUG